CAGCCGCCGCGGUAAAACCAGCACCUCAAGUGGUCAGGAUGAUUAUUGGGCCUAAAGCAUCCGUAGCCCGUUUUGUAAGUUUUCGGUUAAAUCCAUGCGCUUAACGUAUGGGCUGCCGGGAAUACUGCAUAACUAGGAAGUGGGAGAGGUAGACGGUACUCGGUAGGAAGGGGUAAAAUCCUUUGAUCUAUUGAUGACCACCUGUGGCGAAGGCGGUCUACCAGAACACGUUCGACGGUGAGGGAUGAAAGCUGGGGGAGCAAACCGGAUUAGAUACCCGGGUAGUCCCAGCUGUAAACUAUGCAAACUCAGUGAUGCAUUGGCUUAUGGCCAAUGCAGUGCUGCAGGGAAGCCGUUAAGUUUGCCGCCUGGGAAGUACGUACGCAAGUAUGAAACUUAAAGGAAUUGGCGGGGAGCA
rnacentral:rRNA from 1 species